rnacentral:rRNA from 1 species
GAUCCUGGCUCAGGAUGAACGCUAGCGGCAGGCUUAACACAUGCAAGUCGAGGGGUAGAGUUCUUCGGGACUUGAGACCGGCGCACGGGUGCGUAACGCGUAUGCAAUCUACCUUGUACAGGGGAAUAGCCCAGAGAAAUUUGGAUUAAUGCCCCAUAGUAUAUAACCUUCGCAUGUUGGUUAUAUUAAAGUUCCAACGGUACAAGAUGAGCAUGCGUCCCAUUAGUUAGUUGGUAAGGUAACGGCUUACCAAGACGAUGAUGGGUAGGGGUCCUGAGAGGGAGAUCCCCCACACUGGUACUGAGACACGGACCAGACUCCUACGGGAGGCAGCAGUGAGGAAUAUUGGUCAAUGGUCGCAAGACUGAACCAGCCAUGCCGCGUGCAGGAAGACGGUCCUAUGGAUUGUAAACUGCUUUUAUACAGGAAGAAACCCUCCCACGUGUGGGAGCUUGACGGUACUGUAGGAAUAAGGAUCGGCUAACUCCGUG